rnacentral:rRNA from 1 species
AUUGAACGCUGGCGGCAGGCCUAACACAUGCAAGUCGAGCGGCAGCGGGAAAGUAGCUUGCUACUUUUGCCGGCGAGCGGCGGACGGGUGAGUAAUGCCUGGGAAAUUGCCCAGUCGAGGGGGAUAACAGUUGGAAACGACUGCUAAUACCGCAUACACCCUACGGGGGAAAGCAGGGGACCUUCGGGCCUUGCGCGAUUGGAUAUGCCCAGGUGGGAUUAGCUAGUUGGUGAGGUAAUGGCUCACCAAGGCGGCGAUCCCUAGCUGGUCUGAGAGGAUGAUCAGCCACACUGGAACUGAGACACGGUCCAGACUCCUACGGGAGGCAGCAGUGGGGAAUAUUGCACAAUGGGGGAAACCCUGAUGCAGCCAUGCCGCGUGUGUGAAGAAGGCCUUCGGGUUGUAAAGCACUUUCAGCGAGGAGGAAAGGUUGAUGCCUAAUACGUAUCAACUGUGACGUUACUCGCAGAAGAAGCACCGGCUAACUCCGUGCCAGCAGCCGCCGUAA